UACGAAGGGUGCAAGCGUUACUCGGAAUUACUGGGCGUAAAGGGUGCGUAGGUGGUUUGUUAAGUCUGCUGUGAAAUCCCCGGGCUCAACCUGGGAAUGGCAGUGGAUACUGGCAAGCUAGAGUGCGGUAGAGGGUAGUGGAAUUCCCGGUGUAGCAGUGCAAUGCGUAGAGAUCGGGAGGAACACCAGUGGCGAAGGCGGCUACCUGGACCAGCACUGACACUGAAGCACGAAAGCGUGGGGAGCAAACAGG
rnacentral:rRNA from 1 species